AGAGUUUGAUCCUGGCUCAGGAUGAACGCUGGCGGCGUGCCUAACACAUGCAAGUCGAGCGAUCUUCUUCGGAAGAGAGCGGCGGACGGGUGAGUAACGCGUGGGUAACCUGCCUCAUACACAUGGAUAACAUACCGAAAGGUAUGCUAAUACAAGAUGAUAUAAGAGAUUCGCAUGGAUUUCUUAUCAAAGCUCCGGCGGUAUGAGAUGGACCCGCGUCUGAUUAGCUAGUUGGUAAGGUAACGGCUUACCAAGGCGACGAUCAGUAGCCGACCUGAGAGGGUGAUCGGCCACAUUGGAACUGAGACACGGUCCAAACUCCUACGGGAGGCAGCAGUGGGGAAUAUUGCACAAUGGGCGAAAGCCUGAUGCAGCAACGCCGCGUGAGCGAUGAAGGCCUUCGGGUCGUAAAGCUCUGUCCUCAAGGAAGAUAAUGACGGUACUUGAGGAGGAAGCCCCGGCUAACUACGUGCCAGCAGCCGCGGUAAUACGUAGGGGGCUAGCGUUAUCCGGAUUUACUGGGCGUAAAGGGUGCGUAGGUGGUUUCUUAAGUCAGGAGUGAAAGGCUACGGCUCAACCGUAGUAAGCUCUUGAAACUGGGAAACUUGAGUGCAGGAGAGGAAAGUGGAAUUCCUAGUGUAGCGGUGAAAUGCGUAGAUAUUAGGAGGAACACCAGUAGCGAAGGCGGCUUUCUGGACUGUAACUGACACUGAGGCACGAAAGCGUGGGGAGCAAACAGGAUUAGAUACCCUGGUAGUCCACGCCGUAAACGAUGAGUACUAGGUGUCGGGGGUUACCCCCCUCGGUGCCGCAGCUAACGCAUUAAGUACUCCGCCUGGGAAGUACGCUCGCAAGAGUGAAACUCAAAGGAAUUGACGG
rnacentral:rRNA from 1 species